UACGGAGGGUGCAAGCGUUAAUCGGAAUUACUGGGCGUAAAGCGUGCGUAGGUGGUUCGUUAAGUCCGUUGUGAAAGCCCCGAGCUCAACUUGGGAAUUGCAGUGGAUACUGGCGAGCUAGAGUGCGGUAGAGGAAGGUGGAAUUCCCGGUGUAGCGGUGAAAUGCGUAGAGAUCGGGAGGAACACCAGUGGCGAAGGCGGCUACCUGGACAAUUGCUGACGCUCAGGCACGAAAGCGUGGGGAGCAAAAGGG
rnacentral:rRNA from 1 species